UACGGAAGGGGCGAGCGUUGUUCGGAAUCAUUGGGCGUAAAGGGCGCGUAGGUGGUCUUGUAUGUCUACCGUGAAAGCAUACGGCUCAACCGUGUUCCGCCGGUAGAAACUGCAGGACUUGAGGCUGGGAGGGGCUGGUGGAAUUCCCCGUGUAGCGGUGAAAUGCGUAGAGAUGGGGGAGAACACUCGUGGCGAAGGCGGCCAGCUAGACCAGUUCUGACACUGAGGCGCGACAGCGUGGGGAGCAAACAGG
rnacentral:rRNA from 1 species